UGACCACCUGUGAAACAGGGAAUGGCCAUACGGACAGCCGGGUCAAAUGCCGA
rnacentral:sRNA from 24 species